rnacentral:rRNA from 1 species
AGAGUUUGAUCAUGGCUCAGAGCGAACGCUGGCGGCAGGCUUAACACAUGCAAGUCGAGCGGGCGUAGCAAUACGUCAGCGGCAGACGGGUGAGUAACGCGUGGGAACGUACCUUUUGGUUCGGGAUAACCCAGGGAAACUUGGACUAAUACCGGAUAAGCCCUUACGGGGAAAGAUUUAUCGCCGAAAGAUCGGCCCGCGUCUGAUUAGCUAGUUGGUGAGGUAAUGGCUCACCAAGGCGACGAUCAGUAGCUGGUCUGAGAGGAUGAUCAGCCACAUUGGGACUGAGACACGGCCCAGACUCCUACGGGAGGCAGCAGUGGGGAAUAUUGGACAAUGGGCGCAAGCCUGAUCCAGCCAUGCCGCGUGGGUGAUGAAGGCCCUAGGGUUGUAAAGCCCUUUCGGCGGGGAAGAUAAUGACGGUACCCGCAGAAGAAGCCCCGGCUAACUUCGUGCCAGCAGCCGCGGUAAUACGAAGGGGGCUAGCGUUGCUCGGAAUCACUGGGCGUAAAGCGCACGUAGGCGGAUUGCUAAGUCAGGGGUGAAAUCCUGGAGCUCAACUCCAGAACUGCCUUUGAUACUGGCGAUCUCGAGUCCGGGAGAGGUGAGUGGAACUGCGAGUGUAGAGGUGAAAUUCGUAGAUAUUCGCAAGAACACCAGUGGCGAAGGCGGCUCACUGGCCCGGUACUGACGCUGAGGUGCGAAAGCGUGGGGAGCAAACAGGAUUAGAUACCCCCGUAGUCC